rnacentral:rRNA from 1 species
UACGAAGGGGGCUAGCGUGCUCGGAAUCACUGGGCGUAAAGCGCACGUAGGCGGCUUGUUAAGUCAGGGGUGAAAUCCUGGAGCUCAACUCCAGAACUGCCUUUGAUACUGGCGAGCUCGAGUCCGGGAGAGGUGAGUGGAACUGCGAGUGUAGAGGUGAAAUUCGUAGAUAUUCGCAAGAACACCAGUGGCGAAGGCGGCUCACUGGCCCGGUACUGACGCUGAGGUGCGAAAGCGUGGGGAGCAAACAGGG